AGAACGAACGCUGGCGGCAGGCCUAAUACAUGCAAGUCGAACGCACUCUUCGGAGUGAGUGGCAGACGGGUGAGUAACGCGUGGGAACCUUCCUUGUAGUACGGAAUAACUCCGGGAAACCGGUGCUAAUACCGUAUACGCCCUCCGGGGAAGAUUUAUCGCUACAAGAUGGGCCCGCGUUGGAUUAGCUAGUUGGUAGGGUAAUGGCCUACCAAGGCUACGAUCCAUAGCUGGUCUGAGAGGAUGAUCAGCCACACUGGGACUGAGACACGGCCCAGACUCCUACGGGAGGCAGCAGUAGGGAAUCUUGGACAAUGGGCGAAAGCCUGAUCCAGCCAUGCCGCGUGAGUGAAGAAGGCCUUAGGGUUGUAAAGCUCUUUUGGCGGGGUACGAUAAUGACGGUACCGCAGAUAAGCCCGGCUAACUUCGUGCCAGCAGCCGC
rnacentral:rRNA from 1 species